CCUCUGCACCCCGCGAUCACACAGGCCGGGGCAGUGCAGGUCCCCCGUGCCCUUCGCGGGACGUUCCCAGCCAGGGCAGCACGCGCUCCGCCCCCGCUCGUCAGCUGGGCAGCACGUGCGCACGCCCACCCCUGCCCACCGCCGGGAUUUCACUCCGCCCGCCUGGCCCGGGCCGGGGUUGUGUGAGGUCACCAUGUCAGGGGGAGGCGCCCCGCGGCUAAGGUUUCAGUCGCGCGCCAGGGCUCCUCUAUAUACAGACGCCACCGCCUCGCGCUUUCUGACCACUUAGCGCUCGGAACCAGACGGGCGGUUGCUGCUGAGGAGGGCUCGCGUGUGCAUGCAGAGCCCCGUCCCGUUUGCUGGCUGGGCGGGGGCGCUGCAGAGGGGGAGGCCUUUCGGGGAGCGUGGGCCAUCCAGAUUGUUCUGUGCCAGUCUGCUUGACUUUUGCCCCAGUCAGUGCCUUUGCUAUGGCAUCUGUGCCUUCAGCUGGCUGCCUCCUGGCCAAGAAUCAGUACUACAGAAGAAACCUCUCAAAACUGAUGCUGAUUAUGAAAAAGUUUCAACACCUGGUUGUGCAGUGUUUAAGUCACUUCUGAGGGAUUUGGAGCUCGAUUGA
rnacentral:lncRNA from 1 species